rnacentral:misc_RNA from 1 species
GAUGAAGAACGCAGCGAAAUGCGAUACUUGGUGUGAAUUGCAGAAUCCCGUGAACCAUCGAGUCUUUGAACGCAAGUUGCGCCCGAAGCCACUAGGCCGAGGGCACGCCUGCCUGGGCGUCACACGUCGUUGCCCCCCCAUCUACUCCUUCGGGAUUGCGGGGGGGCGGAUGAUGGCCUCCCGUGCGCCUAGCCGCGCGGUUGGCAUAAAUACCAAGUCCUCGGCGACGCACGCCACGACAAUCGGUGGUUGCGAAACCUCGGUUGCCCGUCGUGUGCGUUCGUCGCGCAUCGAGGGCUCGAAAAAAUGCUCGGCUUCGGCUCGGCUUUCAACGCGACCCCAGGUCAGGCGGGGUUACCCGCUGAAUUUAAGCAUAUCAAUAGCGGAGGA